CCUUUCACGAAAGAGCUAAUUGAAUAUUUGGAAGUAAGUGAUCAAGAAUUUAAGGAAGAUAUUACUGCCAAGAUAUGCUCCCUUGUUGAAAAGUUUUCCCCGGAGAAAAUUUGGUACAUUGAUCAGAUGCUCAAGGUUCUCUCUGAGGCUGGAAAUUUUGUAAAAGAUGAAGUCUGGCAUGCACUUAUCGUUGUCAUAAGUAAUGCUUCUGACCUCCAUGGAUAUACAGUCAGGGCAUUGUACAGAGCUUUUCAGGCAUCAACAGAACAGGAAUCCCUUGUUCGAGUGGCAGUUUGGUGUACUGGUGAAUAUGGUGACAUGUUGGUGGAUAAUGUUGG